rfam:Kluyvera ascorbata ATCC 33433 GKAS.assembly.164, whole genome shotgun sequence.
UAGUUCUUUGGUUGCUAUAAAGCCAAGGGCGGUAGCGUG